AACGAACGCUGGCGGCAGGCUUAACACAUGCAAGUCGAGCGCCCCGCAAGGGGAGCGGCAGACGGGUGAGUAACGCGUGGGAAUCUACCCAUCUCUACGGAAUAACGCAUGGAAACGUGUGCUAAUACCGUAUACGUCCUUCGGGAGAAAGGUUUAUCGGAGAUGGAUGAGCCCGCGUUGGAUUAGCUAGUUGGUGGGGUAAAGGCCUACCAAGGCGACGAUCCAUAGCUGGUCUGAGAGGCUGAUCAGCCACACUGGGACUGAGACACGGCCCAGAAUCCUACGGGAGGCAGCAGUGGGGAAGAUUGGAAAAUGGGGGCAAGCCUGAUCCAGCCAGGCCGCGUGAGUGAUGAAGGCCCUAGGGUUGUAAAGCUCUUUCACCGGUGAAGAUAAUGACGGUACCCGGAGAAGAAGCCCCGGCUAACUUCGUGCCAGCCGCCGCCGUAAAAC
rnacentral:rRNA from 1 species